UGCACGCUAAGCUAAAAUGGGAGGCAGGCUAGCUUCUGAUGGAGACAACAACAACAAGAAGGUUGUGUCAGUACCGGAUCGCGACGAAUGGCUCUGCAACCAACGGUGGCACCGGGCGCGUGUGCGCCUCCGUUCCGGAACCGGCGAGGCAUCCUUGGUCUUGGCCAUGGCUUCUGGUUGAGAAGUGAGCGGAAAGGGUAUGCGCGAUCAGGACGGGGCGGGCGACGCCGGGGAGUCUGGCGAUGUUGGGGACUACGGCGGAGGAUUGGACGGCAGUGUUGUUGGCCGGGCUUGGGCGAGGGCGAGGUGUGGGAGUUUCCGGCGGCCGGAGCGGCGGCGAUCGGAGAUUCGGGCGGGGGGUGCGGCCGGCCGGGCUUUGGUCGGGGAAGGUGGCGCGCGGGCAUGCAUCUGUGGCUGCGAGUGGGGUCGGGCAGUCGGGCUCGCUUGUGCUGUGCGCGUCAGUAGCCUGUGUGGCUGUGGGUCCUGCCGCGGCGAUUAGCCCGCGGGGUCGGGCGGCUGUUGUUUUAUUUUAUUUUCGAGGAUAUGGGUUGCAUGCAAUUUUUUGUUCGAACGUGAAAAUGAACGCCUAUGUCCAUUGCUUAUUGUAACGAUGUACGAGUACAAUGUUGGGCCUCUUUGGUUCGUAUGAUUUCAACAAUAUAAGAAUCAGAAAAAACAUAUGAUUUAAAUGUCAAGCUAUGUUGAAUCAUACGGAAAUUGAAAACACCAAAGUGUGCAAUAAAGGUUGCUUUAACGCAUCACAAAAAAAAACGCAAACUUGCUUGAAAAAUCAUGUGCUCUAGUCUUAGUUGUCAUAGAAACAAACAGAAAUUUCCUUUGCAAAUUGCAUGUAAAUUAGCCCAUAAAAAUUCUAUGGUUUCGAAUCGUGCAAAUCACACAAGUCAUAGAGGAAAAAUUACUUAGGACUAGAAUUCUCCAAAUCUGCUAUGAUUUUUUUUGAAUUAAAAUGGACCUUACUAACAUUUUUUGAAAUGUAAAAAAAACUAGUAUUUUCCUAGUACAUGAUUGUAAAAAAAAAUACAACGUAAAAUUUGGAGG